UGAUUAUUCAAUUUAUUAGAAGAAUGAGUAAUUCAUCAACCACUUUGUGCAUUUUGUUCCUCCUUGUUAUUGCAUCAGGUUUGGUGGUGCUAGCAAGAAAAGAUGGUGUAAUAACAAAUAAGAAGUGUAUGACUAAUUUGGGCCUCUGUGGUGCUGGAACUUGUGACUCACAAUGUUGUCAACAAAAAUGUGUAGACUUAUUUCAGUCUAAAAAUCCAGUUGCAAUUUGUCAAUUAGUGCCUGGAUUUUAUUUAUGUAAUUGUUAUCAUGAUUGUGAUUAAUUAAACUAAGAUUAAUGUUCAUGUUUUAGAAAUAUGAACGAGAUAA